UACGUAGGGCGCAAGCGUUGUCCGGAAUUAUUGGGCGUAAAGAGCUCGUAGGCGGUUUGUCGCGUCUGCUGUGAAAGCCCGGGGCUUAACCCCGUGGUGUGCAGUGGGUACGGGCAGACUAGAGUGCAGUAGGGGAGACUGGAAUUCCUGGUGUAGCGGUGAAAUGCGCAGAUAUCAGGAGGAACACCGAUGGCGAAGGCAGGUCUCUGGGCUGUUACUGACGCUGAGGAGCGAAAGCAUGGGGAGCGAACAGG
rnacentral:rRNA from 1 species